AUUUUUGGGCAGGUAAAGUCUUGCUGAUAGGUUAAUUUGUGGAUCAAUUUCAAUGUCUUUGAUUUGUACUCCGGUUUCAGGAUCCGAUUCAGGUGGGACAAAACCCUCGCCCAUCAGCCUUUCGAUUCGACCAUCUUUGUAAACUCUCAUCAAUGGGAAAAAAUCAUG